AAGUGGCACUAUGCGAAGAACUUGCUAAUACAGUGGAUAAAAGCGCUUUCAUCCAGCCCCCUAUCUAUAUCUUGUAGCUGUCACUCCAAUGAAGGCCAAACAGACCAUGCUGAUGUUUUGCAGUAUGAUGUAAUGCAGGUCAAGAGUUAAUUUCUUCAAAGAUUCUGGUGAAGCUAUUGAGGUCCAUCUUACCAUGAGUGAUAGUCUAUUUGCAAGUUAAUGGGAACUUUUCUUCACUGAUGGAUCAUUGUAUUGCAAGGUCUAUCAACAUACACAGUUGCACUGAAUUGCUAGGUCAUUUAUUGUUGCGGGUUACUCAUUGUAGCAAGACUAUCACACUAGCUGCUAAGC